rnacentral:rRNA from 1 species
AUUGAACGCUGGCGGAAUGCUUUACACAUGCAAGUCGAGCGGCAGCGCGGGGGCAACCCUGGCGGCGAGCGGCGAACGGGUGAGUAAUACAUCGGAACGUGUCCUUAAGUGGGGGAUAGCUCGGCGAAAGCCGGAUUAAUACCGCAUAAGCUCUGAGGAGGAAAGCGGGGGCUCCGUGAGGACCUCGCGCUGUUGGAGCGGCCGAUGUCGGAGUAGCUAGUUGGUGGGGAAAGGCCCACCAAGGCGACGAUCCGUAGCUGGUCUGAGAGGAUGAUCAGCCACACUGGAACUGAGACACGGUCCAGACUCCUACGGGAGGCAGCAGUGGGGAAUUUGGACAAUGGGGGCAACCCUGAUCCAGCCAUUCCGCGUGAGUGAAGAAGGCCU